AUUGAACGCUGGCGGCAGGCCUAACACAUGCAAGUCGAGCGGUAACGAUCCUAGCUUGCUAGGAGGCGACGAGCGGCGGACGGGUGAGUAACGCGUGGGAAUCUACCUAGUAGUGGGGGACAACUUGUGGAAACGCAAGCUAAUACCGCAUACGCCCUACGGGGGAAAGAGGGGGAUCUUCGGACCUCUUGCUAUUAGAUGAGCCCGCGUAAGAUUAGCUAGUUGGUGGGGUAAUGGCCUACCAAGGCGACGAUCUUUAGCUGGUCUGAGAGGAUGAUCAGCCACACUGGAACUGAGACACGGUCCAGACUCCUACGGGAGGCAGCAGUGGGGAAUAUUGCACAAUGGGGGAAACCCUGAUGCAGCCAUGCCGCGUGUGUGAAGAGGCCCUAGGGUUGUAAAGCACUUUCAGUAGGGAGAAAGGUUAGUAGUUAAUACCUGCUAGCUGUGACGUUACCUACAGAAGAAGCACCGGCUAACUCCG
rnacentral:rRNA from 1 species